GAUGAACGCUGGCGGCGUGCCUAACACAUGCAAGUCGAACGAGAUGCGUAUUGGAAAGCUUCGGCCGGAAGAUGCGUUAUCUAGUGGCGGACGGGUGAGUAACACGUGGGUAACCUGCCUUAUGGAGGGGGAUAACAGAGAGAAAUCACUGCUAAUACCGCAUAAGCACACAGUACCGCAUGGUACAGGGUGAAAAGAUUUAUCGCCAUAAGAUGGACCCGCGUCUGAUUAGCCAGUUGGCAGGGUAAAAGCCUACCAAAGCAACGAUCAGUAGCCGAUCUGAGAGGAUGACCGGCCACAUUGGGACUGAGACACGGCCCAAACUCCUACGGGAGGCAGCAGUGGGGAAUAUUGCACAAUGGGGGAAACUCUGAUGCAGCGACGCCGCGUGAGUGAAGAAGUAUUUCGGUAUGUAAAGCUCUAUCAGCAGGGAAGAUAAUG
rnacentral:rRNA from 1 species